rnacentral:rRNA from 1 species
UACAGAGGGGGCAAGCGUUAUUCGGAAUUAUUGGGCGUAAAGGGCGCGUAGGCGGCCUGGCAAGUGGAAGGUGAAAGCCCGGAGCUCAACUCCGGAACUGCCUUUAAAACUGCAUCGCUUGAAUCCAGGAGAGGUGAGUGGAAUUCCGAGUGUAGAGGUGAAAUUCGUAGAUAUUCGGAAGAACACCAGUGGCGAAGGCGGCUCACUGGACUGGUAUUGACGCUGAGGUGCGAAAGCGUGGGGAGCAAACAGG